AGUGAACGCUGGCGGUAGGCCUAACACAUGCAAGUCGAACGGCAGCACAGGAGAGCUUGCUCUCUAGGUGGCGAGUGGCGGACGGGUGAGGAAUACAUCGGAAUCUGCCCAGUCGUGGGGGAUAACGUAGGGAAACUUACGCUAAUACCGCAUACGACCUUCGGGUGAAAGAGGGGGAUCGCAAGACCUCUCGCGAUUGGAUGAGCCGAUGUCGGAUUAGCUAGUUAGCGGGGUAAUGGCCCACCAAGGCGACGAUCCGUAGCUGGUCUGAGAGGAUGAUCAGCCACACUGGAACUGAGACACGGUCCAGACUCCUACGGGAGGCAGCAGUGGGGAAUAUUGGACAAUGGGCGCAAGCCUGAUCCAGCCAUACCGCGUGGGUGAAGAAGGCCUUCGGGUUGUAAAGCCCUUUGUUGGGAAAGAAAUCUUUCAGGCUAAUACCCUGGGAGGAUGACGGUACCCAAAGAAUAAGCACCGGCUAACUUCGUG
rnacentral:rRNA from 1 species